GCAGUCAGCUGAGAUCUGGCCACUGCACUCCAGCCCAGGCGACACAGCAAGACUCCGUCUCUAAAAAAAAAGGAGUCAAAAAGGUACAAAUAAAAAGAAAAGGUCAAGACAUUUUUCAAAUGAAGGAGAACUAACAGGAUUUAUCACUAGUAAACUUGCUCUAAAAGAAUUGUCAAGGGAAGUUUUUUUCUAAAAAAAUUCUAAAUAAAAAAGCUUCUAAAAAGAUUUCCCUUCUUUCUAGAAGGGAAAUUAUAGCAGAAGGAAACCUAGAAUGGCGAGAAUAAAGAAGGCACAAUGUAUAGGGUAAAUAUAACAGACUUCUCUUGAGUUUUUAAAAAUUACAUUUGUUAAUUAAAAGAAAAAAAUUAACAGUUUUAUGUGAUUCUCUGUAGAGCAUACAUAGUUUUGUUUUUUUAGGUUGAAGUCUCUGUCACCCAAGCUGAAGUGCAGUGCUGUGAUCAUGACUCACUGCAGCUUCAACCUAGGUUCAGGUGAUUCACCCACUUCAGCCUCUUCAGUAACUGGGACUACAGGCAUGUACUACCACGUCCAGCUAAUUUUUUUUUUUCUUUCUUUUUUUUUUUAGAGAUGGGGUCUCACUCUGUUGCCCAGGCUAAUGUCAAACUCUUGACCUCAAGAUACUGAUACUAGACAGUAGACUGUAAGAAAUUAAGUAUUUGUAUCAUCCCUAGAGCAACACAGAUUUUCCCCUAAAAACCUACACAGAUUAUUUUCAAAAGCAUCAGUAUAUUAAGGUGGAAUACUAAAAAAGAUUUAGGUAACCCAGGAACAAGAAACAUAAUAAAACAAUAGUAAACCUAAAUUAUAUUUUAUUUCAUUAAUACAGCAAUAAUUAAAUGUCAAUGAUCUAAGCUGAUUUAAAUCUAAAAACUGGAUAAGAAGCUGUGGCUUGUAAUUAAAGAUAGAAAUUUAUUCACUACACCUUCAGUUUGCUUUUUUCAUAUGUAAAUUAAUGAAAGUUUAAUAUCCUGCUUCUCUAUUUCAGUUCUAGGCACCACUGUCAGUUAACCCUAAAGAUUUCUGUGGGUGAAACCAUUUCGAUUACCAUUUUGCUCUGCUGCCGGAUAUGGGUCUUGCUCUGCCACACAGGCUGGAGUGCAAUGGCGCAAUCAUAGCUCACUGCAACCUUAACCUUCCGCAUUUGGUGUCUCUCCCCAGAUCACUCUCCAGUAAACCUUUUGCAUGAAACUGCUUAUCUCAGAAACUGUUUUUAAGACAAAGAUUGAAGUCCAAAAUAAAC